AUUGAACGCUAGCGGGAUGCUUUACACAUGCAAGUCGAACGGCAGCGCGGACUUCGGUCUGGCGGCGAGUGGCGAACGGGUGAGUAAUGUAUCGGAACGUGCCCAGUAGCGGGGGAUAACUACGCGAAAGCGUAGCUAAUACCGCAUACGCCCUACGGGGGAAAGCAGGGGAUCGUAAGACCUUGCACUAUUGGAGCGGCCGAUAUCGGAUUAGCUAGUUGGUGAGGUAACGGCUAACCAAGGCGACGAUCCGUAGCUGGUUUGAGAGGACGACCAGCCACACUGGGACUGAGACACGGCCCAGACUCCUACGGGAGGCAGCAGUGGGGAAUUUUGGACAAUGGGGGCAACCCUGAUCCAGCCAUCCCGCGUGUGCGAUGAAGGCCUUCGGGUUGUAAAGCACUUUUAGCAGGAAAGAAACGUCGCGGGCUAAUACCCCGUGGAACUGACGGUACCUGCAGAAUAAGCACCGGCUAACUACGUG
rnacentral:rRNA from 1 species